CGGAGUCUGCGUCAGCGACUCAGCACUUUCAGCAGCAAGGCCGCAAGGCCAACAGACAGCAGUCCAAGUGGCCCAGGACUGCUCACGUACAGAGUCUCAGAGUCUCGGUCAGUCUCUCUCUCACUCUCUCUUGUCUCCCAGUUUCUAACCCUAGCUGCCAAGGUCAAGCUCCCUCCCAAGUCCAAAGUCCCAAACUGCCCGUCUGCGGUGCAGGGCUGCAGGCAUCCACCUCCAUCAGGCGCUGACCCAGUUUCCGCCAUCCACCAGGCGUCCUCAGAAUACGGUGCAGGGCUGCCGAGCAGCGAGCAGCAAGCACUGAGGACCGUCGAGCACCGAGCAGCCAAGCAGCGAGCAGAGGGCAGCGACCAUCGAGCAACCGAGUCGCGAGUCUUCUCUGGUAAAUUAAACAAGCUUGAAUGAAUUAGUGUUUCGAUUUAGAGUUUUGGACAGAUUACUUGUAUGGAUUUGAAAAGAUUACUUGUAUGAAAUGUUGAAAUUGUUAUUUGAUGCUAAAAAUAUUAUUGGAAUGCUAUUGGAAUGUUAAUUUGUGAUAAAUUUCCGCUAGAAUGAUGCUGUAAUUUUAGUGGGCGUGGCGGGUAACGGAUAUCCGUUGGAUAACGGAUACUCGGUGGGUACGGGUACGGAUAUAGAUCCGUACCCACGAGCGUAAAUGGGUAUGGGUAUGGAUUGGGUUUUACUUCGCGGGUAUGGAUACGCGAAACAUAUAUCCGCGUUCUACCCGCCCGAUUACCAUCCCUAUAGAUCACCAAUUGGUUCUUCAUGACCAGCUGGAGUAUCUGGUGCCAUCGAUUGUGAUGUCGCAGUUCACAACUCCUUCGGUGUCCAAUUUUUCGUCGUAUUUUCCGUGGCUUCCUCUUCCUACAGAGAUCGAGACAAUGGUACAUAAAUAUAAUAUAAUAGACAUAACAUAUUAAUUUUACAACUGAUGCAGUAAUGGUACACACCUUUUUUGGUUCCAUUUAAAGGGCACUUGUAACUUGUUUUGCGAUGUCCCAGUUGCCCACAAUUUGGGCAAGUAUACUGUCUUUUUAGCUUUGUUGUGCCUUGUUCAUUAGCUACGACCUUAGCUUUUUCCCACUUCCUCCUUCUAGACAGCUUUUAAUUCUAUUUUUGCUUUGUCGUCCAACUCUUCUUUUAGCCAUAGGUGCACAAACUUCAGAUGAAAAAUCAACACUUGGCCAAAAAGAACGAUCCUCAAUUGGUGGCACCCUUCUCAAGUAAGCUUUCCU
rnacentral:lncRNA from 1 species